rnacentral:rRNA from 1 species
GACGAACGCUGGCGGCGUGCUUAACACAUGCAAGUCGAACGGAAAGGCCCUGCUUGCAGGGUACUCGAGUGGCGAACGGGUGAGUAACACGUGGGUGAUCUGCCCUGCACUUCGGGAUAAGCCUGGGAAACUGGGUCUAAUACCGGAUAGGAGCCAUUUUUAGUGUGAUGGUUGGAAAGUUUUUUCGGUGUAGGAUGAGCUCGCGGCCUAUCAGCUUGUUGGUGGGGUAAUGGCCUACCAAGGCGGCGACGGGUAGCCGGCCUGAGAGGGUGGACGGCCACAUUGGGACUGAGAGACGGCCCAGACUGCUACGGGAGGCAGCAGUGGGGAAGAUUGCACGAUGGGCGCCAGCCUGAUGCAGCGACGCCGCGUGGGGGAUGACGGCCUUCGGGUUGUAAACUCCUUGCGCUAGGGACGAAGCUUUUUGUGACGGUACCUAGAUAAGAAGCACCGGCUAACUACGUG